rnacentral:rRNA from 1 species
CUAAAUACUACCCAGUGACCGAUAGCGUAUAGUACUGUGAAGGAAAGGUGAAAAGCACCCCGGGAGGGGAGUGAAAAAGAACCUGAAACCCUGUGCCUACAAGCACCUAGAGCGCGUCAAAGCGUGAUAGGGUACUUUUUGUAGAACGGUCCGGCGAGCGAUUGUAUGCAGCAAGGUUAAGGACUUAAGGUCUGGAGCCGAAGCGAAAGCGAGUUUGAAAAGGGCGUUAAGUUGCAUAUAAUGGGCCCGAAACCGGGUGACCUACCCAUGGUCAGGUUGAAGUGGAAGUAAAAUUCCAUGGAGGACCGAACCGACCUCCGUUGAAAAGGCGGCGGAUGAACUGUGGGUAGCGGAGAAAUUCCAAUCGAACCCGGAGAUAGCUGGUUCUCCCCGAAAUAGUUUUAGGACUAGCCUCAAGUUAGAUACCUGGAGGUAAAGCACUGAAUAGCCUAGCGGCCGAGAGGUUAGCGAAGCUUAUCAAACUCAGAAUGCCAGAGUAUUGAUGCUUGGGAGUCAGACAGUGUCAGAUAAAUGUCAUUGUCAAAAGGGAAACAGCCCAGAUCUACAGCUAAGGUCCCAAAGUCAGGUUAAGUGGAAAACGAUGUGAAGAUACGUAGACAACCAGGAUGUUGGCUCAGAAGCAGCCACUCAUUCAAAGAGUGCGUAAUAGCUCACUGGUCGAGCGUCUUUGCGCGGAGAAUUUAACGGGGCUAAACCUGACACCGAAGCUUAGGCAAUACAGCAAUGUAUUGGGUAGGGGAGCGUUGUAUACGCGGUGAAACAGUAGCGCAAGCGGCUGUGGAGUGUAUAGAAGUGAGAAUGCCGGAAUGAGUAGCGCGAAUGCAGUGAGAAUCUGCAUGGCCGAAAGCCUCAGGUUUCUGGAGGAAGGUUCGUCCGCUCCAGGUUAGUCGGGAGCUAAGGUGAGGCCGGAAGGCGUAGCCGAUGCACAGACGGUAGAGAUUCCGUCACCACCAAAAGAGUUAAGCACAGGGACACAUAUGAAGUCUCAGAGCCGGGUGUUGGUUCCGGUAGAGAUCGAGGGAAAUUAGUACCGAAGUCUGAGAUGGAAGAUGGCGAGAAAAGCUGUGUGUAUUUCUGAGGUGCCCGUACCGCAAACCGACACAGGUAGGUAGGAAGAAGAUUCUAAGGCCAACGGGAGAAGGGUUGUUAAGGAACUCGGCAAAUUGACCCCGUAACUUCGGGAGAAGGGGUGCUCCAGAGAUGGAGCCGCAGAGAAUCGGCCCAAGCAACUGUUUACCAAAAACACAGGUUUGUGCUAAAUCGAAAGAUGACGUAUACGAGCUGACGCCUGCCCGGUGCUGGAAGGUUAAGAGGAGAUGUGCAAGCAUUGAAUCGAAGCCCCAGUGAACGGCGGCCGUAACUAUAACGGUCCUAAGGUAGCGAAAUUCCUUGUCAGGUAAGUUCUGACCCGCAUGAAAGGCGUAAUGAUUUGGGCACUGUCUCAACAGCCCGCCCGGCGAAAUUGUAGUACCGGUGAAGAUGCCGGUUACCCGCGACAAGACG